CUGUGAUCAGACAGAUGCUCUGUGCUCGGAGCCUUAUCCUUCCCAAGACACGCGUCCAAAAGAGCGGAAAAGCGUGGGGACCGAUGGGAUUUCUGCCGACUGAGAAGGACCUUCCAAAGAGACAGGGGUCCACGGAAGGAAAACCUCUUCUGUGUAUUUCAGCACCAUGGUGGAUCCAUUCUUCUCCCAGACAACGCGGGAGCAGCAGAGCAUCAGAGGAAAACAACUGACAGGUGGUGUAAAGGCCAAAGCGAGACCCAGGAUUAUUCACUCUGUGCUCAGUGGCCCCGAGCCCAAUCCACAGGCUGCAUGGUAGGAAGUGAACGGCCAUCAAAGAACACGAUCACUACGCCCAAACGGGCCUGGAAACAAAGGGGCUUGUCUUCGGUCCCUGCUUCUCAUUGAGCACCCCUGAAAACGCAUCUUUAACUUUUUGUGUGACUGUGCUCCAAGUGGCCUAUGUCAUAAAACAGCCUGUGGGGAACACAGCCCGUGACCAGAUUCGAGCUCAGGAGGCUCCCGCCCUGCGUGGGUCUGCGGUUACUUUUCAUUAAGGCAUAUGGCGAAGCCGCCCAGGGCCCACGGACCUGACAGCUUCCUGACUGCAAAACAAAUGAGUACCAUAGGCUUCAGACAGUAGUUCUGAGCCGGAGUAGGAACCUGCAGAAAUAUGUUUCUAUGCAAAGGAACACUGGGAUGGAAAGGGUCGCGAUUUCUGGGACUAACGCAUUUAUUUCGUCGGCACUUCUGCGGACACCAGUCUUUCCACUUGUUCCAGACAAUACACAACAAAGGGCCUCCUUUUUCAUGUGGGCAAAUUGAGGCAAGGCUGCAACGCCGACCGCGUUUCUUCCAAUGCCUCUGCCUUUCCUUCCUGGGUCUUGGAGGUGAGCUGGGCAGCCAUCUGCCACCCCGCACGGGGGUCUGCUCGCCCCCCUUCCUGCUGCGAUCCCUGCCUCUCCCUGGUGGGCGCAGAGCCAGCGUCCCUGCCCCCCGGCGAGGCCCGCGUAUCUGCAGAGCAUGGGGCAGACACAAGGCCAGGCAUCGUUAGAGCCAGAGUCACAGAGGCAGCCAUCUCCAGAGCCCAAGGGGGUCCCCACUGCAGUGGGCUUUCUCGCACUUGGGUUGUGCAUGUGAAAACACUGAAAUAAAAACUUGAGGAGUUUGGGGUGCCUGGGUGGUUCCCUCGAUUGAGCGGCCAACUCUUGAUUUCAGCUCAGGUUGUGAUCGCGGUUCAUGAGUUCGAGCCCCUUGACCAACUCUGACGGUGUGGAGGAGCCUGCCUGGGAUUCUCUCUCUUCCUCCCUCUCCUUACCCCUACUCCCCAAAAUAAACAUUUAAAAAAGACUUAAAGCAGUAUGUUCUCAAACCCAUUUUUCCUGCAACGUAAAAUUCUAAAUUUCGUUUUUCCUGCUUUAAAAUAUUAAUAGAGAAAUGUUUUCCUACUCUAAGUAAAAAUAAAAAUGAUAAAUUCAGCUUACACUCAGUAUCAAUUUUGAGGAAUUAAUAAAGGAACCCUCGGGAAUACUUUGAACUCCCUUCUAAAGGGGCGUGUGAAUUCCACAUUUAUUCACACCCAGCAUCUCCUCACCAUGAGAAAGUAUGGACGGAGGGUUGUUUGAAAACCUAGUAUUACUAGAGAAGCCAGAAAUACAGAUUUUGAAAUAGGAAACACCUAUCUUCAAACACUUUUGUUAAAAACUCCAUUUUAAAGGCUCCUUCACUCUGAGAGCCACAUAUCUUUGUGUGUGUGUGUGUGUGUGUGUGUGUGAGAGAGAGAGAGAGAGAGAGAGAGAGAGAGAGACCACAUUUAGCCCACAGCCUAAGAAUUUUCAGCUUCUCACAGUGAAAAUGAAUUUGGUAUAAUACAAAUUAAAUCAUGAAUCUUUGACGAUUAUGAGCAACUGUACCCACGUGACAACUAAUUUACUGAGUACACAGCUGACUAGCACAUACAUCAACACACUACACAAUUCAGCCUCCCAGCUCCAUCGAGUGAGCUGAGAUAAAACGACUCGUUGGGAUGACUAUUGGGCACAGGAAGGUUUUGUGUACUAGGAAUUAACA